GGGUCUGCACCUCCACUCAAUUUUUUUUAGGGAUCUACAAAUGAAAAAAGAUUGAAAAUCACUGCUUUAGAGUACUUGGGUAGCAAAAUGUGUCAGAAUGUAGCCAUUGAUCCUGGACAAUACUCAUGUACUGUGAGUUUAGUCCCUGUCCCUUACAGCUUUCUGGAAAUGUCUAUUGUACAGAGGAUCUUUUAAAUGUUUUGCCAUAAGAAGAAAGCAUUUUGAUUAAAUGUUAUUUCAAAGUAGUCUAAAAUCCACAGGUAUAUUCAGAUUUUGCCACAGAGGUAUUGUCAAGGAAAGUGCCAACAAUUUAAAUGGAGGAAAGAUAAAAGUGGCAGCUUCAGAAUGUGAUUAUGCUAUAGGUUCCUCGUGUGUUUUUUGAAUAAUGGGACUGAGAGUGAUCAAAGAAAAGCAAGUAGCUUCAACUUGUAUCAGAGUCCACAUGAUCAAAAGGGUUGUGUCAGAUAAGUGCACCUAUAUUAAACCAGUCUUCUAAUGCUGGUUAAUGUGGCAACACAAUAUUUUCAUCAGUCAAAACAGGUUUAUCAUUAGAUAAAAACAUAGAAAACAAUAGUUCUAAAAUACUGACUAAGGACUGCUUUCUAAAAUAUUUCAUUCAAUCUACAUAACUAGGGGUUCACACCAGUGUCACCCCUGAAAGUUCUGUAGCAUCUUGGGUUACAAUGGAAAUGUCAAAUACUAGAAAAAAAAUUAGUCUCAAUCACACUAAACCUCAAAUAACAUCCCCUCCAAAUGCUACAGAAAAAUUAAAUGUUGCACAAAACAAAACACAACACAACAAAAAAGUUUAAAAAUCACUGAUUUUUUUUUUUUUUUCUCCAUAUUAAAAGGGAAAUCCUGGAGUAAUUUUAUCUGUGAUGGGGUGGCAUUACCACUUCACCACAGUAAAGCCAGCAAUGGAAAGCACAAAUUGAUCCUUAAGAAGCAAGGAGAAUUCAAAGUACAUGCAGAUGAAUGAAAGAACACUGUUGUGUUCAUCCAAAUGCACCCAAACAAGGUGACUCGGUAAGAGUGCUGCUAUGCUGGCUAGCACUGAAUAUAUUUUGAACGUGAAGUACACCUAAGAAUUAGUUGCCAUCCACAGAUUCAACAGACAAAAAGGCUAAAAUGUCUAUGUGCACAUUCACAUAUCUCAUAAACACCAUUCUGUGGGGGACAGCACAAUACGUAAAAUAGCACGUAUUCAGCAUUCCUUUCAUAUCUUUUGAUGAAGUGGGCUUGGGCUCUUAAAGCUUAUGUUAUACAUCUCUUGAUUUAGUCAGUCUGUAAGGCACAAAUCUACCCUGUCUUCUACAUAUUAGGGAGGUCAUGGCUGAAACAUCCUUUUGUUGUUUUCUCCAGUAGCUCUUGCCUGGAAGCAGAGUUAAGUGCGCGGUAUGAAGCUGGCUUCCUAACUGCUUAUUUCAUGGUUUUUAGACAUUUAUAAUAAAAUGUAGGUGUAUGCUGCACUGUGGACAGGGAUGUGAGGCUCCUGGUCACUCUUAAUUCUGCUUUUAACAACGUUUUUGAGCAGUGAAAAUGAGCCAAAUUGAUCUGUAGUAUGAAUCCAUUGACUUCAAAGAAUGCAUUUUUUCCCAGUACGCGGAGGGCCUGAUUUUCCUCCAAAUUUCACCUUGUCUUGUUUCUGCGUGCGCACGCGCAUGUGUAAAAUGUUACCAUUACUGUGAAUGGGGAAUUUUGAUUAUUUACUUUGCUUUGAGCAGAUGUAGACGGGUAGAAAGUAUCAGAAUCCGGCCCACUCUGUUUACAUGGGCUGACUGCUAAGUAGAGCCCAGUGCACGUUAUAUUUAUACAUCUUGUACUUAGCUCACCCUAGUGCAAGUAAGGGGGAAUGCAUUUAAGAUCUCCCUGCACCUGUGGAGGCAGCUGUGCUAGCAGUUUUCUUUCCUGUAUGGAGAGAGCAGAUGGCAGUAUUGGAAUACCAUCAGAAAAGGCAAACUACAGUUUAUAGCUUGGGUUCCAUAUGAGUCCUAUUAGCAGAAGGUGUUCACCCCAGCCAGCCCUUCCCACUUUUGGCCAGCAUUGAUGGAGUGAAACUUGUGUUCUUAUUUUUUCCUACCAUCUCUACCAUAGGGCUGUCCCACAGCAUAGAUUCUGAUAGUGGUUACAACUGUCUCAGCCCAUCUGGCACAUGGACUUUCUACCAGAGGAGGCCCAUGUCCACUGGAUUCUCCAGUUGAUUCCUGGAAGAAGCAAGGAUAUGAAUGAAGCUCUUUAUCUGAAAGACUUUGGGAGAAGUUAACAAGUUUGGAGAGAAGUCUGAAAUCUUUUCUCAUAACUGGAAUGGCUGAGAAUCUCAGUUCUUCUGGGAAGCUCAUAUGUGGAUAUCAAUAAAGGAUUGAAAAUAUGUUAAGAACAUUUUGAUGCUACACAAGUUGGGCACACAAGGAAGGAGCAUGAUCUAAGGAUAAAGCAAAACAGAAAAUACAUUGAUUGGUUCUAAUCCCAGCACUGCCUAGAUUGCUUUGUGACCAAGGGAAACUCCUGUAACCUUUCUGUAACUCAGUGUUAAAAAAUAUAAAAUAGGAAUAAAAUUAGAGUAAUGCUUAUCUA